UCAUUUCGUAGACCGAACAGAGUGGAGCUCAUUUGCAAAGCAGCAGUUUAGAUUGAAUUAUUAUUACUUUUUGUCUCACUUCUCCUACCGCAGGGUUAUUUACAGUUACAGUGGACUUUGUGGCCAGGGAUUCUAGGGAGAGAAGGUGAAUUGGAAGAGGCAGAGGUUUGAAUGUUCCUCACUAUGUUCAUUGUAAUGGCUGUGGUUUUUGCAAAUGUAUAACUUAUUCUGUAUUGUAAUAUUUUAUGUGGAUGUAACAAAAUUGCACAAUCCUGUUUGUUUCUGUACAUAAUAAACAAAA